AUUGAACGCUGGCGGCAGGCCUAACACAUGCAAGUCGAGCGGAUGAAGGGAGCUUGCUCCUGGAUUCAGCGGCGGACGGGUGAGUAAUGCCUAGGAAUCUGCCUGGUAUUGGGGGAUAACGUCCGGAAACGGGCGCUAAUACCGCAUACGUCCUGAGGGUGAUAGUGGGGGAUCUUCGGACCUCACGCUAUCAGAUGAGCCUAGGUCGGAUUAGCUAGUUGGUGGGGUAAAGGCCUACCAAGGCGACGAUCCGUAACUGGUCUGAGAGGAUGAUCAGUCACACUGGAACUGAGACACGGUCCAGACUCCUACGGGAGGCAGCAGUGGGGAAUAUUGGACAAAGGGCGAAAGCCUGAUACAGCCAUGCCGCGUGUGUGAAGAAGGUCUUCGGAUUGUAAAGCACUUUAAGUUGGGAGGAAGGGCAGUAAGUUAAUACCUUGCUGUAUUGACGUUAACAACAGAAUAAGCACCGGCUAACUACGUG
rnacentral:rRNA from 1 species